GCAACCUUUAUAUAUACCGUGUCACGCGGCCGUUGCCUGGCAUGUGUAGUAUUGAUGAAGCAGGACAAAGUCUUUGCCAACCAAAGAAAAUAAGACACCGACAGGCGGUGCGGAGCUCCACCCACCCUUGGGCCAGAAUGAUCAAGAAAAGGGAUUUUAGAACUAGAAAGAAACGGACAAGAGCUGAAAAUCGUGAGCGAAGAAGAGUUUUCGAAGCAGAAUAUUUAUUAAUUUUCGAGAAAUAUCGUUUUGCUGUCCCAACCGGCUAAUUUUGAACGAAAAAUACAAAUCUUUGAAUAAGCAACCGUUUUGAAUUACGAAAGUAAUCGAUUCAAUCUUCGCGGUCUCCGGUGAGCACAUUGAUUCAGCAUUUCACGGAAACCAACCCACUCAUAUUUUCCCUAAAGUCACGAGUAGAUGUAACACAAUAGUUUUUAUGAUGUUAGUAUGAUUUUGUAUGGUAUUCGUUUUUAUGAUGUUAUCGUAUAAGAUAAUUAGUUUUGUUUUAUAUGAUUUUAAUACACAAUAUUGAUAGCUUACCAAACUAUUUAAACGUUUACACUAGAGAAAUCUUUCAUGAAUUGAUUUAUUGUAUGGUACACAGAAUAUUUUAAAAUUUCUAAGUUACAAGAUAUUUAUUGCAAACAUACAGUUUGCAAAAUUACAAAAGUAUUUGAACAAUAAAUCAUUCGUUAUAUUGAUAAGCGCGAAUAUUUAGUGAGACUAUUUUUAGCAUUAGUUACAUGUUCAAGGUCAUUAUUAAUGCUAAUUAGUACUAUGUUAAUUUUUUAUGAAAUAUAUGUUUGCAAUAAAUAUCUGGUUACUUGCAUUUAAAUUUACGAAUCGUUUUGAAAUUUUACCAACAUAGUCACGAUAGUUGUGUCCUAUUACAAUGCUAAAGAAAUAUCAAUAAAUUUCUAUGAAAAAUGUUGGAAUAUUUUCAUAAGUCACU